GGAAUGCUUUACACAUGCAAGUCGAACGGCAGCACGGGGGCAACCCUGGUGGCGAGUGGCGAACGGGUGAGUAAUACAUCGGAACGUGCCCAGUCGUGGGGGAUAACGUAGCGAAAGUUACGCUAAUACCGCAUACGAUCUACGGAUGAAAGCGGGGGAUCGCAAGACCUCGCGCGAUUGGAGCGGCCGAUGUCAGAUUAGGUUGUUGGUGAGGUAAAGGCUCACCAAGCCGACGAUCUGUAGCUGGUCUGAGAGGACGACCAGCCACACUGGGACUGAGACACGGCCCAGACUCCUACGGGAGGCAGCAGUGGGGAAUUUUGGACAAUGGACGAAAGUCUGAUCCAGCCAUUCCGCGUGCAGGACGAAGGCCUUCGGGUUGUAAACUGCUUUUGUACGGAACGAAAAAGCCUUGGCUAAUACCCAGGGUCCAUGACGGUACCGUAAGAAUAAGCACCGGCUAACUACGUGCCAGCAGCCGCGGUAAUACGUAGGGUGCGAGCGUUAAUCGGAAUUACUGGGCGUAAAGCGUGCGCAGGCGGUUUUGUAAGACAGAGGUGAAAUCCCCGGGCUCAACCUGGGAACUGCCUUUGUGACUGUAAGGCUAGAGUGCGGCAGAGGGGGAUGGAAUUCCGCGUGUAGCAGUGAAAUGCGUAGAUAUGCGGAGGAACACCGAUGGCGAAGGCA
rnacentral:rRNA from 1 species